rnacentral:lncRNA from 1 species
ACUAUUAUGCAGGACUCAUUUUAAAAGGCCCUCAGUUCUAAUUUCUAUAAGAGCUUGAAGCUUUGGAGCCAAGGCUACGAACCUUCUCUAUUGUGACUUCUAAAUGUACCUAUGAAAGUAAGGAUCAGGAACAUUCUCUAUUAAACCAACAAACUGAACAAUGAGAACUUGAAAUAUGUAAAAGUACUAAUGAAAGUAUUUAAUAUGUGCAUGUACAGUGGACAAAGAUUACAACACACGGCAUGUUGCAAACAUCCUAACCAGCGUACUUUUGAUGUAACAUGAGAACUUGAAAUGUGUUAAAUAGAGAGAAAAGGCUAAUGACCUGUCUACAAAAUAGAAGUGAAUUGAAUAUUUACUACUCCCUCCGUCCCAUAAUGUAAGACUUUUUUUACACUACAUUAGUGUCAAAAAACGUCUUACAUUAUGGGACGAAGGGAGUAUAAUGUAACAUGAGAACUUGAAAUAUGUUAAAUAGAGUGAAAGGGCUAAUGUCUGGUCUAAAGAACAAAACAAAUUUGAAUAUCAGUUUCGCCAACCCUCGAUGAUCCAACUCACUUCGUAUAAUCCAGGAAAUUAGGGAGCAAAUAUAAGUAAUCCUUCAAGACGCUAGCAACAUCUUCAGGAUAUACGAAUCAUUUCUGGUGAAAAGUUGAAUGUAGCAGUAACCUUU